rnacentral:rRNA from 1 species
GGGACUCGAGUAGCUCUACACCCUUUGUGACAUACCUAUAACUGUUGCUUCGGCGGGCAGGGUCUCCGUGACCCUCCCGGCCUCCCGCCCCCGGGCGGGUCGGCGCCCGCCGGAGGAUAACCAAACUCUGAUUUAACGACGUUUCUUCUGAGUGGUACAAGCAAAUAAUCAAAACUUUUAACAACGGAUCUCUUGGUUCUGGCAUCGAUGAAGAACGCAGCGAAAUGCGAUAAGUAAUGUGAAUUGCAGAAUUCAGUGAAUCAUCGAAUCUUUGAACGCACAUUGCGCCCGCCAGCAUUCUGGCGGGCAUGCCUGUUCGAGCGUCAUUUCAACCCUCAAGCUCUGCUUGGUGUUGGGGCCCUACAGCUGAUGUAGGCCCUCAAAGGUAGUGGCGGACCCUCCCGGAGCCUCCUUUGCGUAGUAACUUUACGUCUCGCACUGGGAUCCGGAGGGACUCUUGCCGUAAAACCCCCAAUUUUCCAAAGGUUGACCUCGGAUCAGGUAGGAAUACCCGCUGAACUUAAGCAUAUCAAUAAGCGGAGGAA